rnacentral:rRNA from 1 species
CCUACGGGGCGCAGCAGUAGGGAAUCUUCGGCAAUGGACGAAAGUCUGACCGAGCAACGCCGCGUGAGUGAAGAAGUAAUUCGUUAUGUAAAGCUCUAUCAGCAGGGAAGAAAAUGACGGUACCUGAGUAAGAAGCCCCGGCUAACUACGUGCCAGCAGCCGCGGUAAUACGUAGGGGGCAAGCGUUAUCCGGAUUUACUGGGUGUAAAGGGAGCGUAGACGGCAGUGCAAGUCUGGAGUGAAAGCCCGGGGCUCAACCCCGGGACUGCUUUGGAACCUGUGUAGCUAGAGUGCUGGAGAGGCAA